UACGGAAGGCAGCAGGGGGGAAUAUUGCACAAUGGGCGCAAGCCUGAUGCAGCCAUGCCGCGUGUAUGAAGAAGGCCUUCGGGUUGUAAAGUACUUUCAGUCGUGAGGAAGGUGUUAAGGUUAAUAACCUUAGCAAUUGACGUUAGCGACAGAAGAAGCACCGGCUAACUCCGUGCCAGCAGCCGCGGUAAUACGGAGGGUGCGAGCGUUAAUCGGAAUUACUGGGCGUAAAGGGCACGCAGGCGGUUAAUUAAGUUGGAUGUGAAAUCCCCGGGCUUAACCUGGGAAUGGCAUUCAAGACUGGUUAGCUAGAGUCUUGUAGAGGGGGUAGAAUUCCAUGUGUAGCGGUGAAAUGCGUAGAGAUGUGGAGGAAUACCGGUGGCGAAGGCGGCCCCUGGACAAAGACUGACGCUCAUGUGCGAAAGCGUGGGGAGCGAAACAGGGAUUAGAUACC
rnacentral:rRNA from 1 species